rnacentral:rRNA from 1 species
CACGUAGGGCGCAAGCGUUGUCCGGAAUUAUUGGGCGUAAAGAGCUCGUAGGCGGACUGUCACGUCUGCUGUGAAAAGCUAGGGCUUAACCCUGGCCUUGCAGUGGAUACGGGCAGACUAGAGGUAGGUAGGGGAGAAUGGAAUUCCCGGUGUAGCGGUGAAAUGCGCAGAUAUCGGGAGGAACACCGGUGGCGAAGGCGGUUCUCUGGGCCUUACCUGACGCUGAGGAGCGAAAGCGUGGGGGAGUGAACAGG